rnacentral:rRNA from 1 species
AUACGAAGGGGGCUAGCGUUGUUGGGAAUCACUGGGCGUAAAGCGCGCGUAGGUGGAUCAAUUAGUUGAGGGUGAAAUCCCGGGGCUCAACCUCGGAACUGCCUUCAAUACUGUUGAUCUUGAGACCGAGAGAGGUGAGUGGAAUUCCUAGUGUAGAGGUGAAAUUCGUAGAUAUUAGGAAGAACACCAGUGGCGAAGGCGGCUCACUGGCUCGGUACUGACGCUGAGGUGCGAAAGCGUGGGGAGCAAACAGGAUUAGAAACCCUAGUAGUCC